GUUCACAUCAGAACAAUCAGACUACAAGAGACUCAUUCCAGCUGUGAGAUGCUGCAGAAAAGCUCUAUUUGAAAGCUUGUGGUUUUGAUGAAACAUGCUGUCCAGAAACUCUGUCUUCUGCUCUACAAUCCUCAAACCAUCUGACAGAGAUGGACCUGAGUAACAAUGAUCUGCAGGAUUCAGGAGGAAGCUGCUUUCUGAUGGACUGAAGAGUUCACACUGUAGACUGAAGAUACUGAGGUUGUCUGGCUGCAUGGUGACAGAGGAAGGCUGUGGUUAUGUGUCUUCAGCUCUGAC